ACCACGAGGGUUAUACUGUCUCCUUUUUCUAAUCAGUGAAUCUAAUCUCCCCGUGAAGAAGCGGGGUUACAACUAUAAGACGAGAAGNNCCUAUGGAGCUUUAAACAAAACAACAUUUGCUAAGUCACACACGAAUCUCAGGAAAUUAAUUCUUAUUUUAGCCCUAUGAUUGUUAGUUUUAGGUUGGGGUGACCGCGGAGUAAAAAACAACCUCCACAAUGAAUAGGGCCCUCCCUUAAGCAAAAAGCCACAACUUUACGCAUCAACAAAAUUGACAUUAAUUGACCCAAUAUUUUGAUCAACGAAACAAGUUACCCUAGGGAUAACAGCGCAAUCCACUUCAAGAGCCCGUAUCGACAAGUGGGUUUACGACCUCGAUGUUGGAUCAGGGUACCCCAGUGGUGCAGCCGCUAC
rnacentral:rRNA from 1 species